GCAGAGAUUUUCACUCGUACCUUUUGCAUCAUGAUUCAGCAAGUUUAUUCAAGCAAAGAGAACUCUAGUUUGCAUCCCCGAAACUUGACGAGCUACUCCGAGACAGCCAACAAUGGGCCAACCCGUCUCUGUGGCAAAAGAGUGGGAAGAUCUCCGAGUAGGGGCAAGAAACCUACCGAGCCAAGUUAUAGCUGGUUGCCUAAUAAACGAAUAAAAGUUCAGCCCCGCCUAGCCCAACUCAAAAAAGUCCUACGAAAAAAGACAAAGAGCUUACCCGCGGGAGUUAAUCAAAGGAGGUACAGCUCCUCUGAUACAGGAUACAACCUUUCUAGGAGAUCAAAGAAUAAUACUUAACAAGGCCUUAGGUCUCAGUGGGCCUGAAAGCAGCCACCUGAUCCGAAAGCGUUAAAGCUCUGACCCAAAAGAUAAGCCUCUUAUCUAAUUUUAAUCUCUGUUUUCCCUAUAUCCUAUUAGGCCUCCCCAUGCACCCAUGGGAGAGACUAUGCUGAAACGAGUAACAAGAAGAAUGAACUUCUCCCCGCACAAGUGUAUGUCAGAUUGGACCAACCACCGACAAUUAACGAACCCAACAAAAGAGGGCCUUGUAUACCCGUCAUUUAUGACCAGGAAAACCAUGCUACUUAGAAUCGUUACCCCAACACAGGAGUGCUUGAACAAGGAAAGACUAAAAGAAAAAAAAGGAACUCGGCAAACUCAGACCCCGCCUGUUUACCAAAAACAUCGCCUCUUGCACCACAAAGUAUAAGAGGUCCCACCU
rnacentral:rRNA from 1 species